rnacentral:rRNA from 1 species
UUAACGGCCGCGGUAUCCUGACCGUGCAAAGGUAGCAUAAUCACUUGUCCUUUAAUUGGGGGCUAGAAUGAAAGAAAGUUUGAGACCUCAUCUGUCUCUCUCUUAUAAAUAAAAUUUGCUGUCUUUGUGAAGAAGCAAAGGUGUCCGAAAAAGACAAGAAGACCCUAUUAAGCUUGAUCUUUUCAUUUUUAUCUAGAUUAAAUAAAAAUGAAAAGAUUUGGUUGGGGUGAUCAAAGAAGAUUUUUAUCUUCUUUUUUUUACAAGACUUUCCGUCAAAAAGUGACCCAGAAAAUUCUGGUUGUAAGAAUUAGUUACUAUAGGGAUAACAGCGUAAUCUUUUCAUAAAGUUCUUAUUGAAGAAAAGGAUUGCGACCUCGAUGUUGACUUAUUUUAUCCUAUUAAGGUGCAGUAGCUUUAAGGGUUGGU